UACACCCUUAAGUCCUGACUCCUGGCAACAUUCCCACCGCUGCCAGACUUCUUUGUUGACUGACCUAGCACAUUAACCGAGCAGAAUGCUAAUCCAGAAAAAGAAAUAUGGUUUCCUGCACAAUCACCAUGAAGAAAUGGUUCAAGAUCCAGAAGGGAAGUGGAAACUCACAACUGAGGAGAUGGGAAAACGUAAGGAAGAGUGAAAUGACAGCAGUGAGAUAUAGCUGUGCUAAAAAUAAGACUAUUCAGAUCUUAUCAACUUGCAGUUUUUGUGAUGCUGAAUUAUGAAUCAAUACAAUAUUACUGUACGGCAGAGAACUAAAGUUAGUUUUGCCAAAU
rnacentral:lncRNA from 1 species